rnacentral:rRNA from 1 species
GCCAUNNAGCAAUCAUUGGGGUUAGAUCUGCCCUUAUCGCAAGAUGAGGGCUUCCAUAUACACCGNUGAACUGUUGGCUUCGGCCAUCACAAACUGUUAGUAAUGAAUGUAAUAUCAUAACAAAAACAAAACUUUUAACAACGGAUCUCUUGGCUCUCGCAUCGAUGAAGAACGCAGCGAAAUGCGAUAAGUAAUGUGAAUUGCAGAAUUCAGUGAAUCAUCGAAUCUUUGAACGCACCUUGCGCCCUUUGGUAUUCCGAAGGGCAUGCCUGUUUGAGUGUCAUGAAACCUCACCCCACUUAGGUUUUUGCCUAAGCGGUGGUGUAUUGGGUGUUUGCCUUGCUAAAGGCUCGCCUUAAAGAUAUAAGCACCUUGGAUGUAAUACGUUUCAUCCUUCUGGGUGGCUGAUAACCCCACAUAUUCAUGAUCUGGCCUCAAAUCAGGUAGGGCUACCCGCUGAACUUAAGCAUAUCAAUAAG